rnacentral:pre_miRNA from 1 species
AAUAAGUUUAUUUCUCAUUUUUUGGAUACAAUCUUUAACUCUUCGUCUUAUUUGAAUUUUUUGUGAUUAAUAUUUUUAUUAUUAUUAGAUUAUAAAACAUGAAUAAUACUUUACGCGUGAUUUUUUAAAGUUUUUUUUAUAAUUUUUUCAAAUAAGACAGAUGGUCAAACGUUGGACAAAGAAAUCAAAAAAUGAAGUUUUU